rnacentral:rRNA from 1 species
UACGUAGGGUGCAAGCGUUAUCCGGAAUUAUUGGGCGUAAAGCGUUCGUAGGCGGUUUGGAAAGUUUGUAGUUAAAUCUGGUCGCUCAACGAUCAAAUCGUUACAAAAACUUCCAAACUAGAGAUUGGCAGAGGCAACUGGAAUUCCGCAUGUAGGGGUAAAAUCCGUUGAUAUGCGGAGGAACACCAAAAGCGAAGGCAGGUUGCUGGGCCAUUUCUGACGCUGAGGAACGAAAGCGUGGGGAGCAAACAGGAUUAGAUACCCCUGUA